CACUUCCUGUCAGGCAGGCAAAUCGUGGCUGCUGCGCUGACAGCCGGGCUCCCCGAAGUGCCGUGCAGCUACCCGGGGCUGGAGCCCUGGAGCCUCGGCCCUACCCCAAGGGACGGAACUUGGUCUCCAGGCCCCGGGCCUGCAGCAUCCCGCCCGCGAGGGCUGUUCGGCGGCCGGUCUAGCAGCGACCGACUUUGCUUGCUAAAUGUUUGGCUGACCCCCUUAAAUGGGAGGCUCCUGCUUCCUCUCCGGUUGUGGAAAGGCCUUUUUUUAACAAAUGGGAAGUCAGAUUUUGAGUAUACUCAGCAGGGAGCAGCCCUAAAUGUGCCUCUUGUCCUGUUCUCCCUCCUUCCUCUCUCCGCUCAGGAACUCAGAAACCGUCAGGGCACAGCAAGGCUGCCUGGGCCAAAAUUAAAGCAGAAGCUCUGGAAACACAAUCUACCCCACUUUCAAUAUCUUUGCUCUGACUGAUUGCUCAGUGAAGGAUUUGUGGAUCUGGCAUGGAGGCUUUUCUCAGAAGAAAGUGCCACAGUUACAAUUUGGCCUCCCAAAACUUCAGCAUUGAGAAUCUGAGUCACUCAGCUGGUUCCAUGUCACAUCUCUAAUCGUUCCUAUCUCCAUCCUUGCAGUGAGUGUCCCAACUGCCAACAUGGACUUAGAUGUUUUGGAAUAGAUCUACAAAAAUACAUGAGACUUAUUACAGUGUAAAGAGCUCACUGUCUAAAAGAGAUUUCCAUGUACGAUGCUCCUUGUUUCAAUUAAUUUACAGCACAGACAUAGCCUCACGAUACUACAGGUAGAAAAGUAAUAUUGUUAGAGGACACUAGCUAAGAGAACCUUAUCUCCAUCUCAGGUUUGAUUGAGCCUCAUUGUCCUCGGGUUGAUGAGGAUCCCAUCAUACACAACCCCACUGAGUCCACAACAGCUGACUGGGAUUAAGUAAAUCCCCAACUGCUGCUUACUGAGUCAAGGAAAUGUCUUGCUAGGCUGGCUGAUAAUGUGCAUAUCAGGAACCCUCCCUCAUCUGCCAGCACCCCACUCCGUUUGCUGACUCCUAAGCUCUGCCCAUAAGGUUCCAAAGCCAGUUAAUCUGGGGUGCCCACUAGAACCAUGGAUUUCAUUUCUUUCCUAUUUCAAAGGUUCCUGGUUAGGGUUUAGUUCUGUUUUAGUCAGAACUGAACACCUUAACAGCUACAGACAGAAUUCAAACAUCCAACAUUGUUGAUUUAAAAAUACAUCAAAUUUCUGAAGUCAAGGCAGUAUUCUGAUGAGCAUCAACUCAUAGCUGCCAGACAGAGAAGAGGAUGUUUUGCUAAGGAAACACAGAACUAUAGCUUUCAUCACAGCAGUCUAAAUUCCUGCCUGGUGCUGCUCUACUCUUUGGGUAUGAGUUAUAACUCUUCAUUUUCUCACCACAGGAAUCCCUCA
rnacentral:lncRNA from 1 species